rnacentral:rRNA from 1 species
AGGAUUCCCCUAGUAACUGCGAGUGAAGAGGGAAAAGCUCAAAUUUGAAAUCUGGUGGUCCCUUGUGAUCAUCCGAGUUGUAAUUUAGAGAAGUGUUACCCGCGCUGGACCGUGUACAAAUCUCCUCGAACGGAGUAUCAUAGAGGGUGAGAAUCCCGUAUAUGACACGGACUCCCAGGGCUUUGUGGUACGCUCUCAACGAGUCGAGUUGUUUGGGAAUGCAGCUCUAAAUGGGUGGUAAAUUCCAUCUAAAGCUAAAUAUAGGCGAGAGACCGAUAGCGAACAAGUACCGUGAGGGAAAGAUGAAAAGAACUUUGGAAAGAGAGUUAAACAGUAUGUGAAAUUGUUGAAAGGGAAACGCUUGAAGUCAGUCGCGUCUCUCAGAGAUCAACCUAGCCUUUUCGCUUGGUGCACUCUCUGUGGGAUGGGUCAGCAUCAAUUUUGACUGGGGGAAAAAGUUUGUGGGAAUGUGGCACCCUUGUGGUGUGUUAUAACCUACUUGCAUAUACCUCUGUUGGGAUUGAGGAACUCAGCAUGCCGAAAGGCCGGACUUUUAGUCACGUACCAUGCUUAGGAUGCUGGCAUAAUGUCUUCAAUCGACCCGUCUUGAAACACGGACCAAGGAGUCUAACAUGCCCGCGAGUGUUUGGGUGAAAAAACCCAAGUGCAUAAUGAAAGUGAAAGUUGAGACCUCUGUCGUGGAGGGCAUCGACGCCCGGAUCAGAUCUUUUGGGACGAUUCUGAGGUAGAGCGUGUAUGUUGGGACCCGAAAGAUGGUGAACUAUGCCUGAAUAGGGUAAAGCCAGAGGAAACUCUGGUGGAGGCUCGUAGCGAUUCUGACGUGCAAAUCGAUCGUCGAAUUUGGGUAUAGGGG